ensembl:lncRNA
UCCUGGCGUCCCUUUGUCAGAAAUGACAAUUAGCCGAAAAGAGAAGCAAAUGACCCUUCAAGGCCACCAUUGUUCUCUCAUCACACUGGGUUUUGUUUGCGUAUCUCCCCCGACUCGUGUGUCCUUGUUGCUCUGUGUGCGAGUUUGUGCUCGUGUGUGAGGGAAGUAAUUAUGCAAAUGAUGGUUGACGUCCCAGUGAAGCACAAUGUCGAUACGAACAGCCCGUUACCCACAUGUGCCUGUGUAUUUACACACGCAUACAUUUCAUCCCUCCAAAUGACCUGUGACCCGGCAGUUGCACAACUCUCUCAGUUCUGGAAAGACAGGUUCAGAGGACGGAUGACAAAAGGCCCAACAAUGACUGUCAUUGUGGCCGUUCCUGCUCCGUUUUAUCUGUCUGCGGGGAAGACCCAGAACACAGGGUAUAAAAAUACUGAAAUAUUGAAUGAAAGGGAAAGAGUGCUAUCAGAUUCUUUAUUUAAGCUGUCUGAAGAACUGCCUGACGGACCAUAGUCUUUUUGUCUGUCUCAUGGCUUCUCUCACUGUUUUUUGAAUCCAUUUUUGAGUUCUGGAUGUUUUCCCUCAUUAUUAGCCAUUCUCUUUUCUGCAGAAAAGAAGUGUCACUUUCAUUCAGAUUCAGAAGAUUGACAAGUGAAGCUUGAAGAGUUUCAAAUGAGUGUAGUCAUCAACCUCGGGCCCGAAAAAACAUAUUCAGUCUAAGUGGAUGUGAAUGCAGACUCUUCAAGAUGAACAAUCUGUGUAUUACACAGCAAUCAUAAUGCAAGCUUUAGCGGUGCUGAUAGGCAUCUCUGUUGGAGUCUGCCUGCGUUUCUGCAGACAAACUGCCUCCACCAGCCACUGGGAACCCUCCAUGAACCCUCCACUACUUUUUUGCACCCUCUACCCCAGCGCACGAGCCUGUGCGCCAGCUUGCCCUCCGCCCACGCCGGGCUACAGCAAGACCCUCACACAGAUCCUAAUCUGUAGGCUGGCCUGCACAUUGCCAGGUGACCCUGGGUGGGGGCUGCCAGGGCUCCUUAAAUCCCCCGCUUUCCCCUGCUUGUCAGCACCCCUCUACCUCAUUUUACCCCUGAGCCCACCCCCUGCCUGAGGGCUGCCCCGCUCCAACAGCAAUUAAUCCAUCUAUUGAUCACAGAGUUAGACUCAGCAAGCUUCUGAAGCAGCACACCAAAGCUCUCCUGUCUCAGAUAUUGAACUGUUUUUUUUUUUUUUUAUGUUUUUGUUGCACUUGGUUUCUCUGUCACCUCUCUUUCUCUCUCUCUCUCUCUAGAAUGGCUCAUACAGGCCACUGUGAUCAUUAUACCAGCACACUUGGGGGCCAUUUUGCCUCGGCCCUGUCAAAAAAUGGUACAAUAAACCAGCCCAGGCUGUUGGUAUCUGUUGUAAU